rnacentral:misc_RNA from 1 species
GAGGUGUUGAGCCCGGCUUCGCGUCGCCGACUCAUCUCAUAAAGCCCGAUCGCGGCGAACGGCCCGAUCAAUGCAAAGCCGGCCGUGAGCGGGAAGAGCAGGUGUAUCAGGUCAUUGCCAAAUGUCAUGCGAGCGAGAAGAACGCCCACGAUCGGAUAAAUCAGACUCAAAAAUACAACGUGGCUCGGCAUCGCCACGAAAUCCUCGAUACCUUUGGCGAGCACGUUUUUGAGAUCGGCCGGUCCGAUCCUACGGACGAUCAGAGGUG